CCAGGAGGUUGGCUUAGAAGCAGCCAUCCUUGAAAGAGUGCGUAAUAGCUCACUGGUCGAGUGGUUCUGCGCCGAUAAUGUAGCGGGGCUUAAGCACACCGCCGAAACCGCGGCAACACAUUUGGUGUUGGGUAGGGGAGCGUCGUGCAUGUGUUGAAGCUAUCUGGUGAUAGGUGGUGGAGUGUGUGCGAGUGAGAAUGCAGGCAUGAGUAACGAGUGAUGUGUGGGAAACAUAUCCGCCGGAUGACUAAGGGUUCCUGGGUGAAGUUUAUCUUCCCAGGGUGAGUCGGGGCCUAAGGCGAGGCCGACAGGCGUAGUCGAUGGAGAACGGGUUGAUAUUCCCGUACCCGUGUGCGUGCGACAAGUGAUGAAUCUUAUGGUACUAACCGCCCGCUUGUUUCUACUGGUCUUUUUGGUUGGUGGUUUCAGGUGCGUGGGAUCUUCGUGGGUAGUAGUCAAGUGAUGGGGUGACGCAGAGUGGUAGCUAGGCUUCCUUAUUGGAUUGGAGUGCAAGCGUGUGGCCUGUGGGGUUGGUAAAUCCGCCCCACAUAAAGGGUGAGGCGUGAUGCGGACACCUUUUGUGGUGGUAGUUAGUGUGCCUGUGCUGUCUAGAAAAGCCUCUAGCGAGUGCGUGCAUGGCCCGUACCGGAAACCGACACAGGUGGUCAGGUAGAGAAUACUAAGGCGUUCGGGUGAACUGUGGUUAAGGAACUCGGCAAAAUGCCCCCGUAACUUCGGGAGAAGGGGGACCACUACUGGUUGCUGACAGCAUUUUUAGCUGGUGGUGGUCGCAGAGGAGAGAGGGAAGCGACUGUUUAUUAAAAACACAGGUCCGUGCGAAAACGUGGAAGUUGAGGUAUACGGACUGACGCCUGCCCGGUGCUGGAAGGUUAAGAGGACCCGUGAGCACACUUUUUUGGUGUGCGAGGCGGAGAAUUGAAGCCCCAGUAAACGGCGGUGGUAACUAUAACCAUCCUAAGGUAGCGAAAUUCCUUGUCGGGUAAGUUCCGACCUGCACGAAUGGCGUAACGACUUCCCUGCUGUCUCAACCACAGGCCCGGUGAAAUUGCAGUACGAGUAAAGAUGCUCGUUUCGCGCGGCAGGACGAAAAGACCCCGGGACCUUUACUAUAGCUUGGUAUUGGUGUGUGCUGCAGCUUGUGUAGGAUAGGUGGGAGACUGUGAAGCGUUCACGCUAGUGGGUGUGGAGUCAUUGGUGAAAUACCACUCUGGUUGUUGUGUGCAUCUAACUGUGGGCCCUGAUCGGGUUUUGGGACAGUGCCUGGUGGGUAGUUUAACUGGGGCGGUUGCCUCCUAAAUGGUAACGGAGGCGCCCAAAGGUUUCCUCAGUCUGGUUGGCAAUCAGAUGGUGAGUGUAAGUGUAUAAGGGAGCUUGACUGUGACACUGACGGGUGGAGCAGGUGCGAAAGCAGGGACUAGUGAUCCGGCAUCUACGUGUGGUUGUGGUGUCGCUCAACGGAUAAAAGGUACCCCGGGGAUAACAGGCUGAUCUUCCCCAAGAGUUCAUAUCGACGGGAUGGUUUGGCACCUCGAUGUCGGCUCGUCGCAUCCUGGGGCUGGAGUAGGUCCCAAGGGUUGGGCUGUUCGCCCAUUAAAGCGGCACGCGAGCUGGGUUUAGAACGUCGUGAGACAGUUCGGUCUCUAUCCGCCGCGCGCGU
rnacentral:rRNA from 1 species